GCACAGAGAUGGCUUUCUAUUCAAACAGCUGAAAUACUGCUUUUUUCAACCAGCAUUUCUUGAAAAAAUUCCCCUUGCAUUGACAGCUGUUUUGGGCAAAUGACUUUUCAGCCUCAUCUUGCAGAUGCAUCUACACGUGUCCCAUCAGAGAGCACCGACAAAAGGUUUGAUAUCAUUCUCAUCCAAACAGUGCGGACAACCUGUAGUUCUAUGUGAAACUCAGGGUGGGAAACUGAGCACAGCUGUGCUGAGCAACCCAUCUGCCUGUGCCUGGACACGACACGGCUGCACCUUUGCUGGGCACAAGAAAGGACCAAAACAGCAGAACAAAGGAAAUUUGUACAUCUAAACAGUGACUGCUGAAGACAGAAAGAACCAUAACCACAGAAAAUGGUGAGCUUGGGGAUAGCAGUACAGCUGGAUCGGUUUUCAUCAUGCAGAGCGCUGCCAGCAUGAGCUGAGCCUGGGAGGGCUGGGUGCCCGCAGGGGCACUUCGAGAAUGAAAAGCGCGUGGAUAAUCCAGGCGGUGAUUGCUUCCUUCCUCCGGCUUUCUGUGGAAUGUCGAGCUGUGUCCCAGCGAGAGCCACUCGAGCACAAGGUAAAAACCCGCACAAAGCAGGAUCACAUGAAGGAGGAUGGGGAAACCAGCCAGGCCCUCAACAAUGAAAUUCCGAAUAACGUCCUUGAGGCGGUUUUACUAUUGUGAGCAUUGCCACGGACCCACAUGCAGCUGCAGGAAACAUGGAUUUUGGUUUGUUUCUCAUCCCAUGGAUUGGCGUCCAGGCCCCGCAACCAGCAAGUAUGAUCUCUUACUGAAUAGGAGCAGAGCCGCAGGAGAGGAAAGAUUAAGGGUAUCAAAGGAAUACAUUUUUCAUUUCACUCCUUUCUUAUUACAGUAGAUUAAAAGGAGAAAAAAAAGAGUUUUGUUCAACAUUCAAUUUUGCAGAGAAUUAAAUAAGCCAAAAACAUUGUUCAGAAUUAGAGCACUGAAUAAAGGAUUUCAAAAACACAGUGUGUGGUUCGUGGUGGGAUUUUUAUUUCCUUUUAAGACAAGCCAUAUACAGCUGUACCAGAGCUAUUGUCCUUCGUCCCGCCGAAGAAAUAGUUUCUUUCUAAAGUGUUCAAUCCACUGAGACACGGAGGUGCUUUGAAAACUCAAAAAAGAAGAAGGAAACCACUCAAACUCUCUUCUGGUUCAAAUGGCAAUUAUCUGAAAAGCAGCAAAGAGUCAGGAAUACAUGGAUAACUCAAGCAGCUUUUGAUCGCCUGGCUAUGAACCGUAGUGGUAUUUUUGUCUUCUUUGGGAGUGAUACCCAGCAGCAAUCAGUGUGCACAGGCAAGAUGGAAGUCAGACCUAAAGGAGUGGUGCGAGGGCACUGAUCUCUCUCAGCACAGAUGGCCAUUACAAGCCUGCACAGGAGAAGCCACUUUCAUCUCUCGUCAAUGGAGAGAUACUCCUUGCUGUUGAACCUCAAGGGGCCACAAUUUGAAGAAACAGAAAAAAACUUAAAAAUGUUCCAAUUUCUGUGGGUCAGGAGAGUCUCUCUUCCUUCUCUUCUACAGGGACUGUCAAACAAACAGCAAGACUUCCAGCACCAUUUUCAAGCUGCACCAAGACCAACACUAGCAAAAGCAGAAGGCUAAAAGAUGGACCCUCGUUUGCAAGUGUACCUUUCAGAUUCAUCAUUAUCAGUGGCAGGAGGGUUCUCAAAAUAAAAAAGACAGAAACACAACUUGGGCAAGUACAGAGGGGUCAGAAGUUCCGAUCAUUUUAGCUUCUGUAUGCUGCAGUCUCUCAUUCUCCAGUGAAUUCCAUGCUCCAGGCAGAGCUGGAGAGGGGCUUGUGUCGUGGGGAGCCUGGAAGGCUUCAGGAGCUGAUCCUGACUGUGCUGAGCUGGGAGUGCGGAUGAAAGCAAGUCACAGGACCUCGGUGUUGACAUCUCCAGUGCAACAACUCCAGUGACUCAAAUUACCAAAUUGCAGCCCAACUGAGUGUUAACCAGAAUACCAGGGGACUCUGGCCAGUGGUUGGUAGAAGAAAGGCAGCAGACAUCUUCCUUUUGAUGUCUGUGAAGUUGGCUGCCUCAUGGCUCUGGAAUGGAUGGAAGAAGAGACAAAGAGCCAACAAAAAAAAAACCCAAACCUGUAACUUUUUUUUUUUUCUAAGAGAAUAUGACUUGGAAAAGUG
rnacentral:lncRNA from 7 species